rnacentral:rRNA from 1 species
GGUGAACGCUGGCGGCGUGCUUAACACAUGCAAGUCGAACGGUGAAGCAGAGCUUGCUCUGUGGAUCAGUGGCGAACGGGUGAGUAACACGUGAGCAAUCUGCCCCUGACUCUGGGAUAAGCGCUGGAAACGGCGUCUAAUACCGGAUACGAGCUGCGACCGCAUGGUCAGUAGCUGGAAAGAAUUUCGGUCAGGGAUGAGCUCGCGGCCUAUCAGCUUGUUGGUGAGGUAAUGGCUCACCAAGGCGUCGACGGGUAGCCGGCCUGAGAGGGUGACCGGCCACACUGGGACUGAGACACGGCCCAGACUCCUACGGGAGGCAGCAGUGGGGAAUAUUGCACAAUGGGCGAAAGCCUGAUGCAGCAACGCCGCGUGAGGGAUGACGGCCUCCGGGUUGUAAACCUCUUUUAGCAGAGAAGAAGCGAAAGUGACGGUACCUGCAGAAAAAGCGCCGGCUAACUACGUGCCAGCCGCCGCCGUAAUAC